rnacentral:rRNA from 1 species
GAGUGGCGCACGGGUGCGUAACACGUAUGUAACCUACCUUGUUCAGGGGGAUAGCCUCUCGAAAGAGAGAUUAACACCGCAUAAAAUCAAUUUAUGGCAUCAUAGAAUGAUCAAAUAUUUAUAGGAACAAGAUGGGCAUGCGGAACAUUAGCUAGUUGGUAAGGUAACGGCUUACCAAGGCUACGAUGUUUAGGGGAUCUGAGAGGAUGACCCCCCACACUGGUACUGAGACACGGACCAGACUCCUACGGGAGGCAGCAGUAAGGAAUAUUGGUCAAUGGACGCAAGUCUGAACCAGCCAUGCCGCGUGCAGGAAGACGGCCCUACGGGUUGUAAACUGCUUUUGUACCGGAAUAAACCUUUCCUCGUGAGGGAAGCUGAAUGUACGGUAAGAAUAAGGAUCGGCUAACUCCGUGCCAGCAGCCGCGGUAAUACGGAGGAUCCAAGCGUUAUCCGGAUUUAUUGGGUUUAAAGGGUGCGUAGGUGGCCUAUUAAGUCAGGGGUGAAAGACGGUAGCUUAACUAUCGCAGUGCCUUUGAUACUGAUGGGCUUGAAUACACUUGAGGUAGGCGGAAUGUGACAAGUAGCGGUGAAAUGCAUAGAUAUGUCACAGAACACCAAUUGCGAAGGCAGCUUACUAAAGUGUUAUUGACACUGAGGCACGAAAGCGUGGGGAUCAAACAGGAUUAGAUACCCUGGUAGUCCACGCCCUAAACGAUGAAUACUCGAUGUUGGCGAUAUACGGUCAGCGUCUAAGCGAAAGCGUUAAGUAUUCCACCUGGGGAGUACGCCCGCAAGGGUGAAACUCAAAGGAAUUGACGGGGGCCCGCACAAGCGGAGGAGCAUGUGGUUUAAUUCGAUGAUACGCGAGGAACCUUACCCGGGCUUGAAAGUUAGUGAAUGUGACAGAGACGUCACAGUCCUUCGGGACACGAAACUAGGUGCUGCAU